UGCUGAGUGUUGUAAGCCCUGGUGAAUGUCGGUCGUAACUAUAACGAUCCUAAGGUAGCGAAAUACCUUGUCGGGUAAGUUCCGACGUGCACGAAUGGCAUAAUGAGUGGGAAACUGUCUCGAGGACUAGCUCGGUGAAAAUACAGUACCGGUGAAGAUGCCGGUUACCUGCAGAUAGACGAAAAGACCCUAGAAGCUUUACUGCAACUUGGUAUUGAGCAUACGGUUUAACUGCGUAGAAUAGGUGGGAGAGGUUAUGUACACGAUUUCGGUUGUGUAAUACUCGUCAGUGAAAUACCACUCUUUUGAAUUGUAUGUUCUAACCCUUACGGCAAAAACGUAAAGGAACAGUACCUGGCGGGCAGUUUUGCUGGGGCGGCACCCUCCUAAAAAGUAACGGAGGGGUUUAUUAAGGUUAGCUAGGCGCGAAUGGAAACCGUGCCGAUAGUGUAUGAGCACAAGCUAGCUUGACUGCAAGUCGGACAUGACGAGCAGGUGGGAAACCAGAAUCAAGUGAACCGACCAUUCGCUUUAGAUGCGAUGGAAGAUUAACGGAUAAAAGCUACUCUAGGGAUAACAGGCUAGUUCCGCCUAAGAGUUCAUAUCGACGGCGGAGUUCGGCACCUCGAUGUCGGCUCACCAUAUCCCGGGGCUGGAGAAGGUCCCAAGGGUUUGGCUGUUCGCCAAUUAAAAUGGUACGCGAGCUGGGUUCAGACCGUUCAGUGCAUAACGAAAGUUGUGACUUGAACAGUCUGAACCCAUCGAGAAGCAUACUAAGAACGACACGUUUAAAAGUAGCACUGUUAAAUAAAAUUAUUGUCCCCAGACAAUAAUGGAAAACUGAAAUCAACAACACUUGUACUGUGGUACAAGACACGGCGGCAUUAUUUAGAAAUAGAUAAUCGUCAAAUCAACUAUAUCGGUAAAAUCCUAUGCAAGGACAAUACCGAGGGAAGGAUACUAGUUAGUAACUAGUAGAUAGUAGUAAGUAGAAAAUGCAAUUGCAUUCCUACUAAUUACUAAUUACUUACUACUCACUAAUUUCGCCCGUAGAGACUGAACGUUGAUAUUCUCGCAAGAGAAUGUGAUACAGUCCGAUCCCUCAAGUAAUUGAGGUGGAACACUUUCGUGUUCCUGUAAAACAUAGAUGCGUGAGACAGGUUGGUCUCCUAUCUACUGCAGGCGUUCGAAUUUUGAGGAGAUCUGUUCUUAGUACGAGAGGACCGGAAUGGACUGACCUCUGGUGUAUGAGCUGUCACGCCCGUGGCAUUGCUCAGUAGCUACGUCGGGCACGGAUAACCACUGAAAGCAUCUAAGUGGGAAGCCGUCUCCAAGAUUAGAAUUCGCUAAGGGUCGUAAGAGAUGAUUACGUUGAUAGGCAUUAAGUGUAAGCACAGUAAUGUGUUCAGCUGAGAUGUACUAAUCGCCCGAUUUCCUAUUAGGA
rnacentral:rRNA from 1 species